AUACGUAGGUGGCAAGCGUUGUCCGGAUUUACUGGGUGUAAAGGGCGCGUAGGCGGGAUUUUAAGUCAGAUGUGAAAUGUCGGGGCUCAACCCCGGAACUGCAUUUGAAACUGAAGUUCUUGAGUAUCGGAGAGGCAGGCGGAAUUCCUAGUGUAGCGGUGAAAUGCGUAGAUAUUAGGAGGAACACCAGUGGCGAAGGCGGCCUGCGGGACGACAACUGACGCUGAGGCGCGAAAGCGUGGGGAGCAAACAGGAUUAGAUACCCGGGUAGCCCACGCCGUAAACGAUGAAUACUAGGUGUAGGGGGUAUCGACUCCCUCUGUGCCGCAGUUAACACAAUAAGUAUUCCGCCUGGGGAGUACGGCCGCAAGGUUGAAACUCAAAUGAAUUGGCGGG
rnacentral:rRNA from 1 species